CAGGCUUAACACAUGCAAGUCGAGGGGCAUCAGGAAGAAAGCUUGCUUUCUUUGCUGGCGACCGGCGCACGGGUGAGUAACACGUAUCCAACCUGCCCUUUACUCGGGGAUAGCCUUUCGAAAGAAAGAUUAAUACCCGAUAGCAUAAUGAUUCCGCAUGGUUUCAUUAUUAAAGGAUUCCGGUAAAGGAUGGGGAUGCGUUCCAUUAGGUUGUUGGUGAGGUAACGGCCCACCAAGCCUUCGAUGGAUAGGGGUUCUGAGAGGAAGGUCCCCCACAUUGGAACUGAGACACGGUCCAAACUCCUACGGGAGGCAGCAGUGAGGAAUAUUGGUCAAUGGGCGCUAGCCUGAACCAGCCAAGUAGCGUGAAGGAUGAAGGCUCUAUGGGUCGUAAACUUCUUUUAUAUAAGAAUAAAGUGCAGUAUGUAUACUGUUUUGUAUGUAUUAUAUGAAUAAGGAUCGGCUAACUCCGUGCCAGCAGCCGCGGUAAUACGGAGGAUCCGAGCGUUAUCCGGAUUUAUUGGGUUUAAAGGGAGCGUAGGUGGACUGGUAAGUCAGUUGUGAAAGUUUGCGGCUCAACCGUAAAAUUGCAGUUGAUACUGUCAGUCUUGAGUACAGUAGAGGUGGGCGGAAUUCGUGGUGUAGCGGUGAAAUGCUUAGAUAUCACGAAGAACUCCGAUUGCGAAGGCAGCUCACUGGACUGCAACUGACACUGAUGCUCGAAAGUGUGGGUAUCAAACAGGAUUAGAUACCCUGGUAGUCCACACAGUAAACGAUGAAUACUCGCUGUUUGCGAUAUACAGUAAGCGGCCAAGCGAAAGCAUUAAGUAUUCCACCUGGGGAGUACGCCGGCAACGGUGAAACUCAAAGGAAUUGACGGGGGCCCGCACAAGCGGAGGAACAUGUGGUUUAAUUCGAUGAUACGCGAGGAACCUUACCCGGGCUUAAAUUGCAGUGGAAUGAUGUGGAGACAUGUCAGUGAGCAAUCACCGCUGUGAAGGUGCUGCAUGGUUGUCGUCAGCUCGUGCCGUGAGGUGUCGGCUUAAGUGCCAUAACGAGCGCAACCCUUAUCUUUAGUUACUAACAGGUUAUGCUGAGGACUCUAGAGAGACUGCCGUCGUAAGAUGUGAGGAAGGUGGGGAUGACGUCAAAUCAGCACGGCCCUUACGUCCGGGGCUACACACGUGUUACAAUGGGGGGUACAGAAGGCAGCUAGCGGGUGACCGUAUGCUAAUCCCAAAAUCCUCUCUCAGUUCGGAUCGAAGUCUGCAACCCGACUUCGUGAAGCUGGAUUCGCUAGUAAUCGCGCAUCAGCCACGGCGCGGUGAAUACGUUCCCGGGCCUUGUACACACCGCCCGUCAAGCCAUGGGAGCCGGGGGUACCUGAAGUACGUAACCGCAAGGAUCGUCCUAGGGUAAAACUGGUGACUGGGG
rnacentral:rRNA from 1 species